UCACACAAGAGACCCAAGUUAACCGUACACGGCGUAAAGAGUGGACCCAUGAUAUCAUAGCAAUUAAAGCCAAAAUGUGACUGAGCUGUCAUAAGCUUAUGACACAUUCAAAACCAUCCUAAAAACGGCCUUAAUACCCAUGACCAAUUAAAUUCCACGAAAGCCAUGGCACAAACUGGGAUUAGAUACCCCACUAUGCUUGGCCCUAAAUCUCGAUGCUUACCUCACCAAAGCAUCCGCCCGAGAACUACGAGCACAAACGCUUAAAACUCUAAGGACUUGGCGGUGCCCCAAACCCACCUAGAGGAGCCUGUUCUAUAAUCGACAAUCCACGAUACACCCGACCACUUCUUGCUAAAACAGCCUACAUACCGCCGUCGCCAGCCCACCUCCCCUGAGAGCAUAACAGUGAGCACAAUUGCCCUAACCCCGCUAACAAGACAGGUCAAGGUAUAGCCUAUGAAGUGGAAGAAAUGGGCUACAUUUUCUAACCUAGAAAACCCCUAAACUCCAACGAAAGGGAGCAUGAAACAACUCCCAGAAGGCGGAUUUAGCAGUAAAGCGGGAUAAUAAAGCCCCCUUUAAACCGGCUCUGAGGCACGUACAUACCGCCCGUCACCCUCCUCAAAAGCUUCCCCCUUCAAUAAAUAAUACACCCAACCGCCAAAGACGAGGUAAGUCGUAACAAGGUUAAGUGUACCGG
rnacentral:rRNA from 1 species